GGGUGAUUCAGACUUGAGGUGCUUUCCCCAGGACGCCUGUCUCCCACAGAUGGAGGGCAUGGCCCAGGAACUGAAACUUCUGCCCUCACUAUGGGGAAAAACUGUCUCACUGGGUGAGCCUUGAAAGAAGAUGGUGAGUGGUUAAAGACAUUUGAAAAGAGCUCACUCAACACAAGAGAGAAAUUGCAUGAAGAAAAGUUCAUUUGUUUUGUUUACUGGCAUUCUGGAGGGAUUUUUUAAUACAGGAAUGACUAUCUGGGCAGUGAAG